rfam:Macaca mulatta chromosome 18, whole genome shotgun sequence.
UCAAAGGCUCUUUUCAGAGCCAUCAUUUUUACUGGCAAGCAGCAG